GAGACCGAUAGCGAACAAGUACCGUGAGGGAAAGUUGAAAAGCACUUUGAAGAGAGAGUUCAAGAGUACGUGAAACCGUUUAGGGGUAAACCUGAGAAACCCGAAAGGUCGAAGGGAGAAAUUCAUUCGCGUUUCGACGUAGGCGUCGGACGGCMGUGUGACGGAAAGCGUUCGCGUUUUCCGCGCCUUCUGUCCGUCGAACCGGCGACGAACGUGUGCACUUUUCUCCUGGUAGGACGUCGCGAUCCGUUGGGUGUCGGUCUACGGCUCGCGGUGGAGCCCGUUCGCCAUUACGUGCGAGCGGACCCGCGUGUCCCGGCUGACUCGCUCGACGGUAUACGAAAGGUUUGAGGCCGCUCUCGGAGCGUUCGACUCGUGGCAAGCGCGCCAGAUGUGUCGGCGAUCGGACCUAGUGCCGGUUCCGAUCUCUGGUGACUGUUGGCUGCGAAGUUCUCGAACAGACCUCU
rnacentral:rRNA from 1 species